GUCAUCACUUCGGCAGGACAUAUACUAAAAUUGGAAUGAUACAAAGGAGAUUAGCAUGGCCCCUGCACAAGGAUGACACAUAAAUUCGUGAAGCACUCCAUAUAUUU